rfam:Arthrobacter sp. IHBB 11108, complete genome.
UGGCCAAGUCGCAACUGGCGUAAGGUGGUUCACCACCGGGGAGCGGCCGAGUCAACAGCGACUCAUACGCAGACCAUGGAUCGAACGCCUGGGACCGAGGU